CAAUACAUCACCGGCGGACGGGUGCGUAACGCGUGGGAAUGUACCUAUUGGUUCGGAACAACUGAGGGAAACUUCAGCUAAUACCGAAUGUGCCCGAAAGGGGAAAGAUUUAUCGCCAAUGGAUCAGCCCGCGUAGGAUUAGCUAGUUGGUGAGGUAAUGGCUCACCAAGGCUCCGAUCCUUAGCUGUUCUGAGAGGAAGAUCAGCCACACUGGGACUGAGACACGGCCCAGACUCCUACGGGAGGCAGCAGUUGGGAAUCUUGGACAAUGGGGGAAACCCUGAUCCAGCCAUGCCGCGUGAGUGAUGAAGGCCUUCGGG
rnacentral:rRNA from 1 species